ACUGACUGCUGCCCCUGUGUCUUCCCUCUAGCCUGCCAAUUGAGUAACGAGGGGCGGGGCAGUGACCUUAAUUGGUAAACGGGCUCAAGUGCAGCCUAUUUAAGAGCAUGGUGGCUAGCAAACGGUGUAGGCUCUGCUGCAAGAAGGUGUGUGAGCACACCAGAGCCUUCCACCAGCUGGGUGCCCUGCCUGUCCGGACUACGGCAGGGGUGAUGUCGCCUGCCUCUCCGGACUGCUACAGUUGGUCAGGCUGCUGUCUUGUCUUCAUUUAGUUUUGUUUGAUGUUUGAUUUACUAUUUUGUCUGUUACUUUUGGUAUGAUUGUCUUUGUCCAUUGUCUUUCUUUUGUGAGGAGGCAGAGUGUUAAUGGGGGGUGGGGCCUAGUCACUUGCUGGGGAACUAGAGUGAGUGUGUGUGUGUACUGAGAGUUGCUUGCUGUGGAGAGCUGCAUUACUGUGUGAGACACUUUCAUAGACUUGCUGUGUUUGGUGCGAACGUAUCACCCUUGAUAUUAGCCUGCCCCCUCAGGCAAGCUCUGCCUGUCUCUGUUAUUUGUUACCCCUCCCUCUUUGUUAGAAUGUCUGUCUUUAAUGUUUAAUAAAUUGUUUAUUUUCGGAAUUCAUGUCUCCUUAUGCUUGAUCGAACCUGUGCAGCUCAGUCUCAGUAAAAGUCUCAAUCUCCUAAAGAUUCCCUGAGGCGCUAGGCCCCAGGGUGGCGUAGUCAGGCUACAGAUUUGGGGUGGUUGCCCUGACCACCCUGUUACAUUCUGGCGUAAGUCGGCAGCAAGCUAAAGACAUGAAUUCCUUUCUUUUCUUUUGUUAGAGUUGCAUAUUUGUGUUGUGCUUGUUUUUCUUUGUUUUCCUUAUUUUCAAGACAAGACAGCAGCUGACCAGAAAAUCACAUACCAGGAACCCUCUGAAGUCCAGCCUCCAACAUCCCAAGUCCCUACCCUCACCGUGUUGAAGUCCUCUGUGCCUCCUUUUGACCAGUCCGGCGGAUGGCGCCUCCGUCGGUUGGGCGGGAUCGACCCAUGAAAGGACUAUACCCACUAUCAGGAGGAUUCAUGUUGGAGUGGGACGAGCAAGACUUUUGGACUUAUGGGGGGGAGGUCAGGGUAUGUGUGUUUGCCAUGGGUUUUGCAGCUUACCCAUUUUAACCAUUUUAAUAGGUAGCCGGGGGUCAGCCUCAGAGAAUCACUGGGUCAUGGGGUGGGUCCCAUUAGCGGGGUUUUCUGAGGGGCCCCUGGUGUUCCACAUUCCAGCAUUGGCCUACUGACCAUGCUGUGUCCUUGUGUGUUGGGUAGCAGUGUUUGAAACACUGGGUCCCCAGUUGGGUAGCAGUGCUUGAGACACUGGGUCCCCUGAAUCUGGGUAGCAGAACUGGCCCAUUGGCCAGACUGCAUGCCACUGGAGCAUUUGGGUAGCCGCGCUGGUCGCGGGGUCCCCUGUAUCUGGGGUCUGGUCCAGUGACCAGACUCAUCCCCAUCAUGGGGUUGAGUGGCAGCACCGGGGUCAACCUGGCUGCCAAUUAUCUGCUUGAUUUUAAUUAUAUGUGGACUUGUGCCUGAGUGAGCCCUUACCAACCCCUCAUGUGCUCGUUUUAAAGGUGUAUCGUCGGGACGACGAUACAUCUUGGGGGGGAAGAAUGUAGUAGGAUAGACUGACUGCUGCCCCUGUGUCUUCCCUCUAGCCUGCCAAUUGAGUAACGAGGGGCGGGGCAGUGACCUUAAUUGGUAAACGGGCUCAAGUGCAGCCUAUUUAAGAGCAUGGUGGCUAGCAAACGGUGUAGGCUCUGCUGCAAGAAGGUGUGUGAGCACACCAGAGCCUUCCACCAGCUGGGUGCCCUGCCUGUCCGGACUACGGCAGGGGUGAUGUCGCCUGCCUCUCCGGACUGCUACAGUUGGUCAGGCUGCUGUCUUGUCUUCAUUUAGUUUUGUUUGAUGUUUGAUUUACUAUUUUGUCUGUUACUUUUGGUAUGAUUGUCUUUGUCCAUUGUCUUUCUUUUGUGAGGAGGCAGAGUGUUAAUGGGGGGUGGGGCCUAGUCACUUGCUGGGGAACUAGAGUGAGUGUGUGUGUGUACUGAGAGUUGCUUGCUGUGGAGAGCUGCAUUACUGUGUGAGACACUUUCAUAGACUUGCUGUGUUUGGUGCGAACGUAUCACCCUUGAUAUUAGCCUGCCCCCUCAGGCAAGCUCUGCCUGUCUCUGUUAUUUGUUACCCCUCCCUCUUUGUUAGAAUGUCUGUCUUUAAUGUUUAAUAAAUUGUUUAUUUUCGGAA